rnacentral:lncRNA from 1 species
UGCCUUGUUCAGGGUAUGUUAAGGAAUCUAUGACCAAGGAUUCCGUUUCAUUUCUCUCUUCUUUGUAUUUCGAUUAUUCUUUGAUCCCUCUUCUUUGGCACUACAAUAGAUCAAGAAAAUCACGCGAGAUGAGUUUAUUAGAAAGUUGAGAUUGAUAGUAGGGGAUCAGCUGUUGAAGUCAUCUAUAAUUGGUCUCCAAUCCAAGGUAAGACCUGACACAUCCCGACUCUUGAAAUUAUUUUUAGUUAAAUGUUCUUUCUCCCCACCCACAAAAAAAAAAAAUUGGAAAAAGUAAAAAAUAUCAAACUACUUUCCAAUUUGGAAAUGAAAGGGGUGCAGUCUUGGAUGACGGUCUGCAUCGUUAGAUGAUUCCACCAAUAAUGCUUGAAGGUUUAUGGAACAGCGAGGAACUUUUUUAAAACCUAAUGUUCAAAUGAAAGGAAUGCGGUCUUGGAUGACAGUGCAUUGUUAGAUGAUUCCACUGAUAACGCUGGAAGGUUUUUGGAGCAACGAGGAACUUUUUUAAACCUAAUGUUCACCAUAAGUACCUUUCACAUAUUUUUGGGCUAAGUUUACAUUAUGCAAUUCUUAAACCUUUAUUAUGAUAAUGUAUUGAUAAGGUGGUGUUAUAUCUUGGGAUCAAAACGACACCAGCAAUUCAUUUGUCAGAUUGUUCUACUUUUUAAUUUUGAUAUCCAUUCUUAUUUUUUGGACUGACCCUUUUUGGCUUGUACAUUAGUGUUGUGGGAACAAAUUCUGGAUGUUAUAAAAUUGUCACGGUCUUGGAAAUUUGAAAUUUCACUCUGUAUUUUGCUGGUUAUUUUUGCAGAUUCUGUUUCAAAUGUCAUACUACCAGUAUGAAAAGGAUCAUUGCAUGUCUUGAAAAUAUUUUUGACUUAUUAUAUAUUUUGAAAAAGGAAC